CGGAGGGAAACCGAGUCUUAAUUGGGCGUUAAGUUGCAGGGUAUAGACCCGAAACCCGGUGAUCUAGCCAUGGGCAGGUUGAAGGUUGGGUAACACUAACUGGAGGACCGAACCGACUAAUGUUGAAAAAUUAGCGGAUGACCUGUGGCUGGGGGUGAAAGGCCAAUCAAACCGGGAGAUAGCUGGUUCUCCCCGAAAGCUAUUUAGGUAGCGCCUCGUGAAUUCAUCUCCGGGGGUAGAGCACUGUUUCGGCUAGGGGGCCAUCCCGGCUUACCAACCCGAUGCAAACUGCGAAUACCGGAGAAUGUUAUCACGGGAGACACACGGCGGGUGCUAACGUCCGUCGUGAAGAGGGAAACAACCCAGACCGCCAGCUAAGGUCCCAAAGUCAUGGUUAAGUGGGAAACGAUGUGGGAAGGCCCAGACAGCCAGGAUGUUGGCUUAGAAGCAGCCAUCAUUUAAAGAAAGCGUAAUAGCUCACUGGUCGAGUCGGCCUGCGCGGAAGAUGUAACGGGGCUAAACCAUGCACCGAAGCUGCGGCAGCGAACGUAUCACCCAAGACAACUUUACGGAGUUGACGAUUGACGGAGCGAAGCGACGUCAAAGCGUUCAUUAAAGUCGAGUUGGCUUAGGGAUACGUUCGUUGGGUAGGGGAGCGUUCUGUAAGCCUGUGAAGGUGUGUCGUGAGGC
rnacentral:rRNA from 1 species